UCCGCCAUAGUCUAGCUGGUUAGGAUACUCGGCUCUCACCCGAGCGACCCGGGUUCGAGUCCCGGUGGCGGAA
rnacentral:tRNA from 1 species